UUUCCCAGUAAGACUUUUGUUAUAUGCUGAAAGUACUUCAAGCUUUGACAAAUUGGACACAGAAAUUGGAAUUGGUCCAUGAAACUGGUUUCCAAAAA